GCUAAUGUAGCUUAAACCAAAGCAUAACACUGAAGAUGUUAAGAUGUACCCCAAGAAGGUUCCAUAAGCA
rnacentral:tRNA from 1 species